UACGUAGGGUCCGAGCGUUGUCCGGAUUUAUUGGGCGUAAAGAGCUCGUAGGCGGUUCCGUAAGUCAGAUGUGAAAACUCAGGGCUCAACCCGGAGACGCCAUCUGAUACUGCGGUGACUGGAGUCUGGUAGGGGAACACGGAAUUCCUGGUGUAGCGGUGGAAUGCGCAGAUAUCAGGAGGAACACCGGUGGCGAAGGCGGGUCUCUGGGCAGUAACUGACGCUGAGGAGCGAAAGCGUGGGGAGCGAACAGG
rnacentral:rRNA from 1 species